AGUGGCAAACGGGUGAGUAAUGCGUGGGUAAUCUACCCUAGGGUGGGGAAUAACUCCUCGAAAGGGGAGCUAAUGCCGACAUGUGCGCCACUCUCGCAAGGGAGUGAUGGAAAGCCGUACCGUGGGUGCGGCGCCCAAGGAUGAGCUCACGUCCUAUCAGCUUGUUGGCGGGGUAACGGCCCACCAAGGCUCCGACGGGUAGCUGGUCUGAGAGGACGACCAGCCACACGGGGACUGAGACACGGCCCCGACUCCUACGGGAGGCAGCAGUGGGGAAUUUUCCGCAAUGGGCGAAAGCCUGACGGAGUGACGCCGCGUGUGGGAUGAAGGCCUUCGGGUCGUAAACCACUGUCAGUGGGAAAGAAGGGUAUCGGCGCGAUAACCGCCGGUAUUUGACGGCACCUGCAGAGGAAGCCCCGGCUAACUCUGUGCCAGCAGCCGCGGUAAGACAGAGGGGGCAAGCGUUGCUCGGAAUUACUGGGCGUAAAGGGCGCGUAGGCGGGAUGGCAAGUCGGUCGUGAAAUCCCUCGGCUCAACCGAGGUGCGUCGAUCGAUACUGCCGUUCUUGAGGGUUGCAGAGGAGACUGGAAUUCCCGGUGUAGCGGUGAAAUGUGUAGAGAUCGGGAGGAACACCGGUGGCGAAGGCGGGUCUCUGGGCAACUCC
rnacentral:rRNA from 1 species